GCUUCCAUAUCAUCAAGAUCCAUGACCCUUCUGUGGGUGAUGGCUUGUCCUUAAGAGUAAUGAAAAGAUCUCUAUUUGGGGUAUCCCAGAAAUUUAGGCUAGACUCGAGUGAGGCAAAGAAAUCAAUCUUUGAUUUCUUUUGGGUGGAUGAAAUAGGAGGAUCUUCCAAGGGUCGUUUUCCUAAAGCUUUUCACCUAGAUGUUGGGAAUGUUCAGAGAAAUCACCUUGAGAUGAGGCGAAGCCUUCAAAGUGAUCAGACCCUAGGUCUACUUGGUCAGGAAGCACAUAAGGCGUUUUGACUUGGAGCGGGUACUUUUUCUGGUGGAGGCAAAGGGAUUUUUGGAGUGUUUCAUCAUUGAAGAAGAGGGGAUUUGCUAGAGGUUUUGGAGAGG
rnacentral:lncRNA from 1 species